rnacentral:rRNA from 1 species
AGCAGCCGCGGUAAUUCCAGCUCCAAUAGCGUAUAUUAAAGUUGUUGCAGUUAAAAAGCUCGUAGUUGAAUUUCGGGAUCAGUACGCUGGUCGUGCCCUUGGUAUGUACUGGUGUUACUGGUUCCUACCUUCUGACGAACCGUCAUGUCAUUAAUUUGGUGUGGCGGGGAAUCAGGACUGUUACUUUGAAAAAUUAGAGUGUUUAAAGCAGGCUCGCGCUUGAAUACAUUAGCAUGGAAUAAUGAAAUAGGACGUUCGAUCCUAUUUUGUUGGUUUCUAGGAUUGACGUAAUGAUUAAUAGGGAUAGUUGGGGGCAUUAGUAUUCAAUUGUCAGAGGUGAAAUUCUUGGAUUUAUUGAAGACUAACUACUGCGAAAGCAUUUGCCAAGGAUGUUUUCAUUAAUCAAGAACGAAAGUUAGGGGAUCGAAGACGAUCAGAUA